rnacentral:rRNA from 1 species
UACAGAGACUGCAAGCGUUAUUCGGAUUCACUAGGCGUAAAGGGUGCGCAGGCGGUCGGGUGUGUCAGAUGUGAAAUCCCGAGGCUCAACCUCGGAACUGCGUCUGAAACUACUCGACUAGAGUACUGGAGAGGGUAACGGAAUUCACGGUGUAGCAGUGAAAUGCGUAGAUAUCGUGAGGAACACCAGAGCCGAAAGGCGGUUACCUGGACAGUUACUGACGCUCAGGCACGAAAGCAUGGG